rnacentral:lncRNA from 1 species
UGAAGAUGAGGAGGUUUAUCAGGAUGUGUUCAAAUGAACCAGGGUGGUGCGACGUUAAAGAGGUUUAUCAGUAUGUGGAUGUGAAGAUGAGGAUGUUUAUCAGGAUGUGGCUGUGAAGAUGAGGUUAUUCAGGAUGUGGCUGUGAAGUAGAGGAGGUUAAACAGGAUGUGGCUGUGAAGGUGAGGACGUUUAUCAGGAUGUGGCUGUGAAGAUGAGGAGGUUUAACAGGAUGUGGCUGUGAAGAUGAGGUCGCUUAACAGGAUGUGGCUGUGAAGGUGAGGACCUUUUAUCAGGAUGUGGCUGUGAAGAUGAGGAGGUUUAUCAGGAUGUGGCUGUGAAGAUGAGGAGGUUUAUCAGGAUGUGGCUGUGAAGAUGAGGAGGUUUAUCAGGAUGUGGCUGUGAAGGUGAG